CGCAGCUGAGGGGAGCGGUGCCGGGGGCGGCGCGUCCCCGCCGGGCGUUGAGCGGACCCCGCUGCCCCGGGCGGGGCAGCCCGGCCCUCACGGCAAGUUUAAAGAGGCGGCGGCCCCUCCUCCGCCCGCGGCCGCCCUGCCGAGCCUGGGUGCGCCUCUGGGAGCCGCCCUGGGCUGCCCGGCCCCGCCGCUGCAGGGAAGCGGAGACAGAAUCCAGACCAGAACCACUGAGGAACUUGGAAGCAGUGCUUUGAGCCUCUGGAGAAACAGCUUCCCUCUAAGGAUGAAGAGUGAGAAAGGCAAACUUUAAUUUCUGGCACAGUUGUUUUGGAGAACUGGCAAAGCUACUGCAAAGGUGCUCUGUUUGUUCAGCAUUGGAAUAAAUCAGAGGGCCUCAGGAGUCUCCCCUGAAACAAGUGCUGAAGCAGCUCCUAUUUGCAAUGAGGAAAAAGUGGAAUUUUAGCUGCUUCUGAGGGACAGAAUAAGGCUA